rnacentral:sRNA from 1 species
AAACAUGAUUAUCUCGGUGCAGAAAGGUUUUUCAGCCUUGCCGAGAUGCACAGUAAUGAGAUAGAUAAAUUCGGGAUACUGGAUUUAUUGAUUCUUUCAUCAGCGGGUGAUCCUGGUGGGAAGAUGGAAACCAUCAACAACGCUGUGCAGUGUAUCAUCAUAGAGAAACCAAAAGCAGAAUCCUUGUGGUCAGCGUACAAUAGACGCCUGCGGUGUAGGAAUAAUCCAUUGAUGUGAGUGGUGUGAGAGACUACGGACUAAAUGGAAAUCUCAAUAAGCUGAUUUGCCUUGAACUGGAGAAAUCUGGGUAUAACACAAGAAAUUUGUUAAAGUAGCGGUAUGGCAGAAUUGAAAAUUUUGAUCGAAAGUAUAAGAGAAACUAUCGAAAAACAUUUAAUCUGAAAGAACCGUGAAAUUUACAGGUGAAAUCCUGUAUGUGCUUUGACCGCGGUAAGAAGCCAAGGGUCGCUCCCAAAAGCUCAGACUUAUCGUCACAUUGGCUGAAUAUGGUUGCAUCUAUGGUGGAUAAGGGGAAGCCCUAAUCAUGUUUGUAU